GGAGAAGCAGAAUGAUGAGCAAUACUGCUGGAGCCCCAAAGCGGCACAGGUGUGUGUGUGCGGGCGCCUGCGUGUGAGUGUGUACCCUUGUCCGUGCGUGCACAUGGGAGGAUGGGUGCGUGUGACUGGUGGUAGGGACCUAGCCAUGUGCCAUCUUCUGGGCGGUGACAGUCAAAACUGAUAAGAUCUGAUUGCUUC